UACGUAGGGUGCAAGCGUUUAAUCGGAAUUACUGGGCGUAAAGCGUGCGCAGGCGGCUAUGCAAGACAGAUGUGAAAUCCCCCGGGCUUUAACCUGGGAACUGCAUUUGUGACUGCAUGGCUAGAGUGCGGCAGAGGGGGGUAGAAUUCCACGUGUAGCAGUGAAAUGCGUAGAGAUGUGGAGGAAUACCGAUGGCGAAGGCAGCCCCCUGGGCCAAUACUGACGCUCAUGCACGAAAGCGUGGGGAGCAAACAGG
rnacentral:rRNA from 1 species